rnacentral:rRNA from 1 species
GUGAGGAAUUUUCCGCAAUGGGCGAAAGCCUGACGGAGCAAUGCCGCGUGAAGGAUGAAGGCCUAUGGGUUGUAAACUUCUUUUCUCAGAAAAGAAUUAUGACGGUAUCUGAGGAAUAAGCAUCGGCUAACUCUGUGCCAGCAGCCGCGGUAAGACAGAGGAUCCAAGCGUUAUCCGGAAUGAUUGGGCGUAAAGCGUCUGUAGGUUGUUUAAAAAGUAUUCUGUCAAAGAUUAGGGCUUAACCCUAGAUAGGCAGAAUAAACUUUUAAGCUAGAGUUUGGUAGAGGCAGAGGGAAUUCCCGGUGGAGCGGUGAAAUGCGUAGAUAUCGGGAGGAACACCAAAGGCGAAGGCACUCUGCUGGGCCAAUACUAACACUGAGAGACGAAAGCGAGGGGAGCAAAUGGGAUUAGAAACCCUAGUAGUCC